UGGAUUCACGUAAAGUUUGCCACUUUAUGUAAUGGAUGGGUUGUAGAAUGGUAGAUCUAUGGUUUGGAUCAACUGCAUGGCCUGGAAGGCUUCUGUAUGGGUUAAGAUCUAGAGGCACUCGGCGAGUCACAAAGGUGUACUCGGCGAGUUGCUUGAGGAUGGGCAGGAACUCGGCGAGUUGGAAGAACAACUCGGCGAGUAGGUUGAAGAUAGCCUUGGACUCGGCGAGUCUGUUCUUGGACUCGUCGAGUCUGGUCGUGAGGUCCUAACCUUCUUCUGGUUGAGCCAUGAAUCGGCGAGUCAAGGGAGGACUCGGUGAGUUGAUUGUGAGGGGACUCAGAGUUGUGAGACUCGGCGAGUCACCGGGUUGACUCGGCGAGCAGAGUCAGUUAGGAGGUUGACUUUGACUUUGACCAAGGGUUGACCAGUUGACUUCCAGGGGCAUUUUGUAACUGUUGGCAUUUGUUUUGAGUUCAGUGUUGGUGUUGGCUAGUGGUGGAGAUCGUAUCAGUGGUCGGAGCAUCUUGGUCUUAUCUUUUCAGUCGGCAGUUGCGAGGUGAGUUAUGCUCACUAUAUUAACAGGGUCUAAGCCACCAAGGCCGACCCUUUAUCGGAAUAUGAUCCGGGUAUCAUUGUUAUGUUAUUUAUUUGCUAUGUUUGUACCCUGGUAUAUAGGAUGAUGCUAUGCUAGUGACCGGUUAGGUUGGUAUCCUGNUGAGUUGAUUGUGAGGGGACUCAGAGUUGUGAGACUCGGCGAGUCACCGGGUUGACUCGGCGAGCAGAGUCAGUUAGGAGGUUGACUUUGACUUUGACCAAGGGUUGACC
rnacentral:lncRNA from 1 species